rnacentral:rRNA from 1 species
CCNAGCUUGGUACCGAGCUCGGUACCGAGCUCGGAUCCAGUCUCUUCUAGUAACGGCCGCCAGUGUGCUGGAAUUCGCCCUUACUGCUCAGUAACACGUGGACAACCUACCCUGAGGAGGGGGAUAACCCCGGGAAACUGGGGAUAAUACCCCAUAGACUAUGGAUGCUGGAAUGCUCUGUAGUUAAAAGGCCCGCCGCCUCAGGAUGGGUCUGCGGCCGAUUAGGUUGUUGUUGGGGUAACGGCCCAACAAGCCUGUAAUCGGUACGGGUUGUGGGAGCAAGAGCCCGGAGAUGGAUUCUGAGACACGAAUCCAGGCCCUACGGGGCGCAGCAGGCGCGAAAACUUUACAAUGCGAGCAAUCGUGAUAAGGGAACUCCGAGUGCCCGUAAAAUCGGGCUGUCCGCCAGUGUAAAUAACUGGUGAAGAAAGGGCCCGGGCAAGACCGGUGCCAGCCGCCGCGGUAAUACCGGCGGCUCGAGUGGUGGCCACUAUUACUGGGCUUAAAGCGUUCGUAACUGGUCUUGUUAAGUCUCUUGGGAAAUCNUUCCGGCUUAACCCGGAAGGCGUCUUAAGGAUACUUGACAGACUUGGGACCCGGAAGAAGUGAAAAGGUACUUCCAGGGGUAGGAAGUGAAAAUCCUGUAAUUCCUUGGGGGAACCACCUUGNGGCGAAAGGGGUUUUAACCAAGGACGGGUUCCGACAGUGAAGGAACCAAAAGCUU